GACGUAGGGCGCGAGCGUUGUCCGGAUUUAUUGGGCGUAAAGAGCUCGUAGGCGGCUUGUCGCGUCGACUGUGAAAACCCGCGGCUCAACCGUGUGGCGGGCAGUUGAUACGGGCAGGCUAGAGUUCGGUAGGGGAGACUGGAAUUCCUGGUGUAGCGGUGAAAUGCGCAGAUAUCAGGAGGAACACCGAUGGCGAAGGCAGGUCUCUGGGCCACUACUGACGCUGAGAAGCGAAAGCAUGGGGAGCGAACAGG
rnacentral:rRNA from 1 species